rfam:Asian citrus Psyllid, Diaphorina citri - Florida Strain, whole genome shotgun sequence.
GCCAGCGACGAUAGCCUGUUGAAUACACCUGUUCCCAACGGAUCACUGAAGUUAAGCAACGUUGAAUGUUGCUGGUAUCUGGACAGGUGACCGCAUAGGACACCACUUUCAGCUGGCU